GAAAGAGCCCAAACCAAGAAGCUUGCUUCUUGGGGUUGUAGGACACUCUAUACGGAGUUACAAAAGAAAGUUAUAAAUGAAGCGGUCUGGAAAGGCCCGCCAAAGACGGUAACAGCCCGGUAGUUGAAAUGGCUUUCCCUCCAGAGUGGAUCCUGAGUACGGCGGAACACGUGAAAUUCCGUCGGAAUCCGGGAGGACCAUCUCCCAAGGCUAAAUACUCCCUAGUGACCGAUAGUGAACCAGUACCGUGAGGGAAAGGUGAAAAGCACCCCGGAAGGGGAGUGAAACAGUUCCUGAAACCGUGUGCCUACAAGUAGUUAGAGCCCGUUAAUGGGUGAUAGCGUGCCUUUUGUAGAAUGAACCGGCGAGUUACGAUUUGUUGCAAGGUUAAGCGGAAAAAGCGGAGCCGUAGCGAAAGCGAGUCUGAAUAGGGCGCAUAAGUAACAGGUCGUAGACCCGAAACCAGGUGAUCUACCCAUGUCCAGGAUGAAGGUAAGGUAAUACUUACUGGAGGUCCGAACCCACGCACGUUGAAAAGUGCGGGGAUGAGGUGUGGGUAGCGGAGAAAUUCCAAUCGAACUUGGAGAUAGCUGGUUCUCUCCGAAAUAGCUUUAGGGCUAGCCUCGAGGUAAAGAGUCAUGGAGGUAGAGCACUGUUUGGACUAGGGGCCCUUCUCGGGUUACCGAAUUCAGAUAAACUCCGAAUGCCAUGUACUUAUACUCGGGAGUCAGACUGCGAGUGAUAAGAUCCGUAGUCGAAAGGGAAACAGCCCAGACCACCAGUUAAGGUCCCCAAAUAUAUGUUAAGUGGAAAAGGAUGUGGGGUUGCUUAGACAACCAGGAUGUUGGCUUAGAAGCAGCCACCAUUGAAAGAGUGCGUAAUAGCUCACUGGUCGAGUGACCCCGCGCCGAAAAUGUACCGGGGCUAAACAUAUUA
rnacentral:rRNA from 1 species